GUAUCAGUAUAAAUAUUGGGCGGCGCCAGAUCACUAGUGUAUGCAUGGAAGAAUAGGACUACUCGUCCGUACCUAUCAAAAUCCAUUCUCAUUGAUCAAACCUCCUAUGGAAGAAGUUGGUGAACUAGAAUCGAACAAGAAAAGGAAGCAAGUAGAGAGCUCCUCCAGUGAGCCUCCUGGAAAAAAAGACUAAAGUUGCCCCUGCCCCUGUUCUCACAAACAAUAACCCAGUGGUGUUAUCUCUCUGCUGCAGUUUGCUUUCGAAGAAUUCCAGUUAUUGCUCUCUAAUGGAUCCGUUUUGUAGAAGGCAUAUCUCAUGCUCUUGUUGGUCGAAUCCAGGAUGAAGUUGCUUUCAUUCUCAAAGACAAAGGUUUUGAGGCAUCACCAUUACUUAAAGAAUUUCUCGAUGGUGAUAUGUUAGAUCCUCAGUCUAUGGUUGUUCGUGAUUUUGCUAGCAGUCGGCCACUGCCAUUGACCAAAGAACGCAAAGAAAUGCUCUCGGACAGUAUGACUAAGACUGCACCAUCUUUUUUUCUACUGAUUUACUCAACUUGUAUAGCAUUGACAUGAAAAUUUUUGUUUGCAGUAUUGAGUCGUAUUGUAGAAGAUGUAUACUCUGUUUUGGUUGAUUGUCUGAACAGUAAAUAUCUGCUGCAGCUCCCGGCAGAGAGUGAUGUGUUGAUUACUAGCCAGUUUCUUUUUUUUGUGUAUUGUGGUUGUUACGUCACCCUUGUUUUAUCCUUGUGGUUUUGAGUUCACAGACGAAAGUUGCUCAUGAUUCUGAUAGCCACAGUGAUUUUGGUGUUUUGCCUGGUGGUGUCUCUCUGCGGCAGUUUGCAAUCAAAGAAUUCCAAAAAUUGCUCUCUAACAGUAUGACUUAAGCCUGCGCCAACUUCUUUUCUGCUGAUUUUAUUUCAAUUUGCAUAGUUACGCAUUUGCAAAAUAUUAUUGACGGAAUGGAGUCCUUGUUUAGAAGAUAUGUCUUAUGCUUUAGUUCGUGGACUAGCCAUACAGAGAAAGUGUUGUCUACAACUCCAGGUAGAGAAUCGUGUCUUGAUUACUUUACUGUACCUUCUUUAUGUGUUUGUAGCUUCAAAGUUGCUUUAUCUUAACAGUUUUGUGUUCUCAGUUUGAAGUUGCUUGGGUUCUCACAUACAAGGGUUUUAAAGGCUUGCCAUUACUUCAAAAGUUUUUGGAUGAUGAUAUAGUGUGUGACUGACCCCUCAUGUUGUAUAGACUGAAGCUCUAUCGAUUAUCAGUUGAUUAUAUUUUGUUACUAAACUAUAGGUUGUAUGUAGUUUUUAAUGGUAACUGAUUUGUUGUUUUACAGCUGGAUCUUCAGUCGAUAGUUGCCUCUGUUUUACCUAUCAAUCUACAACAGCCAGUGACGAAAAAAUAUGAAGAAGUGUUUUAUGAAAAAUUGAAUCGUAUUGUAGAGGAUGUGUACUCUGAUUUUGUCGAACUUCUAGUGAGUAAAUAUUUGCUGAAACUCCAGAAAUGAUUGGAGACCAUCACUUAAAAGGCUCAAGACUUGGUCACCCCGAGGGCACAAGAAUAUGCAAGGAAGACCCAUUUUGAGCCUACCGUUGAGCAUAUCAUUCAUCAAGGCCGUGAGUGAAAGAUUGCUUGGAGCAUUGAAGACUUGAGGAUUCAAGAUUUUGGACACUUAAUAGCUCACAGUUUUUGGGUCAUCUUCAUUGAGGGCAUUUUGGUCACUUCACUUUGCCCAAAACGCACUCCAUGGCCACCCCUCUCAUUAAGGGUAGUGUAGUCAUUUGUCUUCUUUUGUAAUGUAAUAUAAAUAGAACAAGAUAGAGUUUUAGGACUUAGUUGUUUAUUGAUGGAAGACAAACUCUCUCUCUAGUGUGAGGAGUGUAACACCCCUUAGUUGUAGGGCUUGGAAAAGCCACCAAUCCGUAACUAGGCUUGCCCAAGUAUGGAUAUCACUUGUAUUGCAUCGUUGGCUUGAUACAUUGGUGAUUAGGGAGGCAAAGUCCCUCUUUUGUCAACGUAAGAGUUUGGUGUUAACAUUCAUUAAUCUUAGGAUCCUUACAUGUGGUUAGGGUUCUUAGAUUAUUGAAUAUUGUAUGUCAAACUAUCUAUCCAUCUCUUUUGUUAACAUUG